GUAGGCUACGGGGACAUGUGUCCCAUUACCAUGGGGGGGAAAAUGGUCGGCACCUUGUGUGCCAUCGCGGGUGUGCUGACUAUCGCUCUGCCGGUUCCCGUCAUUGUCUCCAAC
rfam:Gasterosteus aculeatus cont1.002636, whole genome shotgun sequence.